rnacentral:misc_RNA from 1 species
GAAAAAAAAAAAAAAAAAAAGACAGGAAUUUGAUGCUUGGGAACUUGUGAAGACUGGAGAAAGCAGAUAAAGAAAAGUUUGAAUGACUCGAGAGUGUCUGGCGACACUAAAGCCAGGACAAGCUUAAAAAGGAAGCAUAUGCUGUUUAAACCUGAUAUAACGGAGUUUGGAUUGGAGGGAGAGGGUAAAGACUAAAAGACAGCGUGCAUCUUCAGAGCAAGAGUUCUGCAUAUGUUGACUUGUGGGGGUUGCAGGCAUGCAGCACAAAAUGGUAUGUGGUCCUACAUGCUUGGUGCUUGAUUGAUGACGGUGGGUCACCCUUCUUCCGUCGUUAGGUUUGGUUCUUAAUAAUACCACUACUAAGUACUAAAUCCUUGGUUUUAUUUUGCAAGGGCAAUACAGAACUAGCGUAAUAGCAUGAAUAGUGGUGGUGCUCGUGGCGGUGGCGGUGCUUCUUCUGUCACGAGCAUGAUAUCAUCAUCCAAUUAAUGGAGAUGGCGAAAGUGGUUAAAAAUUGGUGGAGCCAUCCAGAGACUCUGGUUCUAACUCCUCCUCUUUGCUCCGACUGGCUCUCAAUAAUUCCUCUUCCCAAUGAUUGUAACAUAAGGAAAUAACUGAAUUUUAUGUGUCCCACUAAUAUAUAUAUAUGAUUCAUAUUGACUCGACAUUUCAUGUAAGAUUACUAUUUUAUUAUGUAAUUUCUCAUUAAUUACACAUCUUCUUCACUUCAUGUAUAUUCCGUAUCGUCAUUUCUUUCUAUAUAGUAUUGCUUCCUGGAAACUUUGAUUCUGGAGCAUACAGAUACGGUGGCGGUGGACCGUAAUCUAACAUAUAAAUGACUACUUAUGAGAUCUUUCCAUGAUCAGUUUUUAGUCUUCUCUAGUUAUGGUCUUGAGCUUGUUAGAAUUAAACCAACGUGACUUCUAACUUUGGGAAUACUUGUAUCAGAUUCUCCCACUUCAAAUAUGGAACAAAGGUCAAGAUUAUAUGAUAAAAUGGCA